rnacentral:tRNA from 1 species
GCCAGGGUAGCUCAGAAGGUUAGAGCACAGGAUUCAUAAACCUGAGGUCGGCAGUUCGAUUCUGCCCCCUGGUA